rnacentral:rRNA from 1 species
GGUGAACGCUGGCGGUAUGCCUAAGACAUGCAAGUCGAACGGGCUGUUUAUGCAGCCAGUGGCGGACGGGUGAGUAACACGUAGGUGACCUACCCCAAAGUCUGGGACAACUAGGAGAAAUCUUAGCUAAUCCUGGAUGUGGACAUCUACUUUGGUGGAUGUUUAAAGCUUCGGCGCUUUGGGAUGGGCCUGCGGCGCAUCAGGUAGUUGGUGGGGUAAUGGCCUACCAAGCCGACGACGCGUAGCUGGUCUGAGAGGACGAUCAGCCACAGGGGUA